AAAACUUUCAACAACGGAUCUCUUGGUUCUGGCAUCGAUGAAGAACGCAGCGAAAUGCGACAAGUAAUGUGAAUUGCAGAAUUCAGUGAAUCAUCGAAUCUUUGAACGCACAUUGCGCCCUUUGGUAUUCCGAGGGGCAUGCCUGUUCGAGCGUCAUU
rnacentral:rRNA from 2 species